rnacentral:rRNA from 1 species
GAUGAACGCUGACAGUAUGCUUAACACAUGCAAGUCUUUGGCGAAGCUGUGCUUGCACAGCCUAGCCAAGGCGGACGGGUGAGUAACGCGUAAGGAACUUGCCCUGCAGUCAGGGAUAACAGACGGAAACGACUGAUAAGACCUGGUAAAGUCAGGCGGACUCAUGUCCAGCCUGAUGAAAAGAGAUGCUGCAGGAGAGCCUUGCGUCCUAUUAGCUUGUUGGUGGGGUAACGGCCCACCAAGGCGAUGAUAGGUAGCCGGCCUGAGAGGGUGGACGGCCACAAGGGGACUGAGAUACGGCCCUUACUCCUACGGGAGGCAGCAGUGGGGAAUAUUGGACAAUGGGGGCAACCCUGAUCCAGCAAUUCUGUGUGCACGAUGAAGGUUUUCGGAUUGUAAAGUGCUUUCAGCAGGGAAGAAAAAAAUGACGGUACCUGCAGAAGAAGCGACGGCUAAAUACGU